GCGCGGGCGUCUCAGGUCCCUCGCAGCGCGGGGCAGCCUGGAAGGCACCGGCAUCUCAGGUACCUCUCAGUGCUGGGCAGUCGCAGCUCCACGCGAAGCCCCUGCUCCCUGCACUCAAAUUUGCCUCUGAGUUUCCCUGAGGCGGCCGGGAAGAAUUUGGGUCUGAAUUCAGUCAGAGCUGGAAACCAAAAGAGAAGCAAAAAGUGAUAAAAGAAGAAGAAAGACAGGGCCCCUACCCUGGCCACAAGCGCAUGCCAGCGGGAUGCCGAAUGCCACCGCGGCAGUUGCCCUUGCCGCGACCCCGUGUGAGCUCCGCAGCUGCUUGCGCUGGAUGAGGGGGCCUUCCCGUCACCCUCUGUGGUGGUCGGAUGUUUGGUGGAUGUCUACUAAGGCCUCUAAGAAGUCGGCUGUCAAGCAGGGGGAAGAAAGUGUCCCCAUCCUCACCCACUCUGCUUGCUGGAGGGAUACGGAAAAUGAAACCCUACCUGUCCACGUUCGUCCUUCUUAAUUCUAUGACCAUGACAGCUUGAGUUGCCACCCUGCAUACGGCCAGAAUCCACCCAGGCCACACUUCUUCUUUCCCGUCUCUUCCCUUAGACAAACGGAGGAGACAGAAAGUGGAGAAAUGGAGGGAGCUGGGGGGAAGCUCAGAGCCCAGAGGCUGGAGCUCAGGGAAACCACAUCUUCUGUGUUGACUUCGCCGUCCCAGGGGGAAGGAAGAUUCACACAGACUUGCCCGCUCCCCUUGGCCGACUUUAGGUCAGGAAAUAGCAUGUUCACUUCGGUAUGUGGGUGACAUCAUCAGCGCGGCCACUGAAAUAGGAGGUGAGGCUGCAGACGGGCUGGGAUCCGCCUUGGCGAGCAGAGGCCUGCGCCUCCCUCCUCCACGUCCCCAACACCCCAGCUCCGUGACAUCCGACACCGCGCAGCUCACAUCGCAAAGGAAACACAGCCAGCCCUGCCGAGAACUGCCUUUCAAAGUGGAAAAGAAUCCCAGGAGCAAAUGUGUGCACAGACCCUGCAUUUAGAAAGAGACGGCUUAGCCAGACGUAGCUGGAACAAACAUAUAAAAAACAUCUGUGCCAGGAAGGCACUCACCAGCCCCGCAGACUGGGGGCCCCCAUGGUGCCCUUGAGGGGCAGCAAUGGCCCCACCACAUGCAGUCCCCCACAGCAGCGCCACCAGCCACCAGCAGCAGCUUCGAGCUUUCCUGCUCCUCAGUGAAGGUGGGCACAGGCUCCAGGAGAGACCACCUGCCGCCAGCACCCCCCACCCCCACCGGGGGGGGGGGUGGCACCAGCAAGACCCAGACAGAUGGCCCAGCAAUGCCUUUCCAUUUCUUCUCAUCUUAACGUCGAUUUUCUUCCUGGUCCUAAAAGUGAUGUGAUCCGUUGGAGACAAGUUGGAAAAUGCAAUGCAAAUAUAUAAAGACUAUGCUACCAGUCACCCACAAUUCCAGGCCUAAGACACGGCUGCAUUUUGGUCUGUUGUAAUCCUUUCUCACACCUUAGUCUCGUCACAACAAAGGAAGCGUUUCAGGGACACAAAAGUCUUUACAGAAUGAAGGGCAGAUCCCACAGCCCGAGGCCAGAGGGAUGAGGACAAGGCCGGGCUUGGCGCCGGCCAGGGGUGGGUGCCCGGGCACCGAGGCGAGUCACUGACACCGCGCAGUUUGAUGGGGCCUGGGGAAAGGUACAGCAGGAGGAUUGUGGGGGUGGGGACAGAAGAAGAGAGUCCUCCAGGAUGGGGCGAUGGGAAUGUAGUGGGUUUCAUGACCCGUGCGAGAGAGGCCGGGAAGAGGCAGAAAUGAGGACGGGCCCUCAGGUCAGUGCUGCUGCAGCCUCCGCAGAGAAGCAGCUUCCAGGCUGCAACGACUUAGAUGUGUUUGUGAAACAGCUGGUUGUGAAAUCAAUUUAAUGAGUCCUAACGAGCAUUUUCAAAAAGGAACAGAGCGGCAUGGAAGCACCUAUUUCUAUGAUCAUUAUGGAAGUUGUGAUUUCUAUCAGGGAAUCACUCAUCAGAGGGAGUAUUGUUUCACAGACUCUUAUUUCACUUCUGCGUGUACGUGCUGGUUGUGGUGUAAAAUGUGCCUUUUAUUGUGUGUCUCAGUUUUUAAAAAGUUGCAAAGCCCUGGCUUAGAAGAAGAAAGAAUUCAGAGGCCAUGUGUGACCACAGUUUAAGCUUCUGUAGAUGAGAAAGGGACGGGGCACUUUUGGAAGCAAGGAUAGUCCAGGCGGUGGUGCACACAAAUGGGAGGCUGACGGAUCUCACACAAACACACAGGGCACAUCAAGUUAGUCCCUCGGAGCUCCUCUGAUGCAGCCGUGGGUCCUCCAGAACCUGCUGCGGCUGAGCCACAUCUGUCUCCGUGGUGGUCCCUCGCUAUGUCCCACACUUUCUCUUGUUCCUCCUCCUUUCCCCAGGUGACUUCUCCAGAAAUAACUCUUAGAACAAGCCCAGAAACGAGCUCCAGUAAAGACCCAAAGGAACAAGAAGGCAGGUGUGCACACGACCCAGGACCCUUACCCCAAAGCAACAGGAAGGCAGGUGUGCCCACGACCCAGGACCCUUACCCCAAAGCAACAGGAAGUCAGGCGUGCACACGACCCAGGACCCUUACCCCAAAGCAACAGGAAGGCAGGCGUGCACACGACCCAGGACCCUUACCCCAGAGGAACAGGAAGGCAGGCGUGCACACGACCCAGGACCCUUACCCCAAGGAACAAGAAGGCAGGCAUGCCCACGACCCAGGACCCUUCACACGGCGGCCCCCUCAUGUCAGCCUCAGUCGCACACCUAUCACACAGCAUGUUCACAGCAAAAACAAGACAUUUUACCUUUUCAUAUGGUCAGAAGUAGAGACUCUCUUUCCUUUCUCCUUUCAAGAUGCCAAGCCACCCAAAUUCCUUUUAUAUCUGUGAUAAAGGCAUCAGCCAGGCACAGUGGCUCACGCCUGUAAUCCCAGCACUUUGGGAGGCCCAGGCGGGUGGAUCACCUCAGGUCAAGUGUUCGAGACCUGGUUGGCCAACAUGGC